rnacentral:rRNA from 2 species
CUGGUGUCAGCCGCCGCGGUAAUACCAGCACCCCGAGUGGUCGGGACGAUUAUUGGGCCUAAAGCAUCCGUAGCCGGUCCUGCAAGUCUUCCGUUAAAUCCAGCUGCUCAACAGAUGGGCUGCGGGGGAUACUACAGGGCUAUGAGGCGGGAGAGGCAAGCGGUACUUUAUGGGUAGGGGUAAAAUCCCUUGAUCCAUAGAAGACCACCAGUGGAGAAGGCGGCUUGCCAGAACGCGCUCGACGGUGAGGGAUGAAAGCUAGGGGAGCAAUCCGGAUUAUAUACCCGGGUAGUCCCAGCUGUAAACGAUGCAGACUCGGUGAUGGGUUGGCUUCGUGCCAACCCAGUGCCGCAGGGAAGCCGUUAAGUCCGCCGCGUGGGGAGUACGGUCCGCAAGAGUGAAACUUAAAG